GACGAACGCUGGCGGCGUGCUUAACACAUGCAAGUCGAACGGAAAGGCCCUGCUUUUGUGGGGUGCUCGAGUGGCGAACGGGUGAGUAACACGUGAGUAACCUGCCCUUGACUUUGGGAUAACUUCAGGAAACUGGGGCUAAUACCGGAUAGGAGCUCCUGCUGCAUGGUGGGGGUUGGAAAGUUUCGGCGGUUGGGGAUGGACUCGCGGCUUAUCAGCUUGUUGGUGGGGUAGUGGCUUACCAAGGCUUUGACGGGUAGCCGGCCUGAGAGGGUGACCGGCCACAUUGGGACUGAGAUACGGACCAGACGCCUACGGGAGGCAACAGUGGGGAAUAUUGCACAAUGGGCGGAAGCCUGAUGCGGCAACGCCGCGUGCGGGAUGACGGCCUUCGGGGUGUAAACCGCUUUCGCCUGUGACGAAGCGUGAGUGACGGUAAUGGGUAAAGAAGCACCGGCUAACUACGUG
rnacentral:rRNA from 1 species